GCUCUGCAUUAUUUCAAGUGCCACUAAGGAAUUGCUGUCAGUCACUCAGAUUUCUUUUUUCUUUUUCCCUCAUGUACAGAGCUGCUCUAGAAUAUAUGUUUUUCAUCAGAUAAUACUGAUCUGCAAGAGAGGUGGUGUCCCUGGGCCAAGAGACCAAACUUUCAAGGCCAAGUCUUUGAAAUCAGGUGUGUGUUCUACAGGAGCACAUCCCAGUUGGGAAUAGCCCCCUCUCAAUUGCCACAUGUGGACAACUCAAGUCUGGAUACACCAAGUGCUGGGGCCAUCUGCCUCUGAAGAAGGGCUGACGCACAGAGCUUCUUCAGCUUCCUCAAGUUGUACAAAGCCCACAAUGGCUGCCACACUCCAGGGUCUACCUGGGCUUCCAACUUUAGCACCCAUCACC